rnacentral:RNase_P_RNA from 2 species
CUACUAGGUCAGGCUAUCGCUUUUAUUUAGGUAAGGGAGGAAAGUCCGGACAGCACAGAGCAGCGCACCACCUAACGGGUGGGGUUUCGGAAACGAAAUACAGAAAGUGCCACAGAAAAUAACCGCCUCUUUUGUGGGGUAAGGGUGAAAAUGUAGGGUAAGAGCCUACGCGCUACUAUGGCAACAUAGUAAUGGGGUAAACCUUGCGUGCUGAAAUGCCAAAUAGGCGAAUGCUUGAGAGCGGCUCGCUCGAUGUUCGUGGGUUGGCAGCUAGAGGUACUACGCGAGUAGUAUCCCAGAUAAAUGAUAGCCGGUCUCAGGGCCAUAUGAGACUAACAGAAUCCGGCUUAUUGACCUUAUUAGUUGU